rnacentral:rRNA from 1 species
UGGGGAAUAUUGGACAAUGGGCGCAAGCCUGAUCCAGCAAUACCGCGUGUGUGAAGAAGGCCUGAGGGUUGUAAAGCACUUUCAAUAGGGAGGAAAAAGGUAGGUUUAAUACGUCUGCCCUUGACAUUACCUAUAGAAGAAGCACCGGCUAACUCCGUGCCAGCAGCCGCGGUAAUACGGAGGGUGCGAGCGUUAAUCGGAAUUACUGGGCGUAAAGCGUGCGUAGGCGGCCUGUUAAGUCAGAUGUGAAAGCCCCGGGCUUAACCUGGGAACGGCAUUUGAAACUGGCAAGCUAGAGUUGAGUAGAGGGGAGUGGAAUUUCAGGUGUAGCGGUGAAAUGCGUAGAUAUCUGAAGGAACACCAGUGGCGAAGGCGGCUCCCUGGACUCAAACUGACGCUGAGGUACGAAAGCGUGGGUAGCAAACAGGAUUAGAUACCCAGGUAGUCCCUGAGCGGGCUGGCAAGGCGCAU